CGCGUAGGCGGAUAGUUUAGUCAGAGGUGAAAGCCCAGGGCUCAACCUUGGAAAUGCCUUUGAUACUGGCUAUCUUGAGUACGGGAGAGGUGUGUGGAACUCCGAGUGUAGAGGUGAAAUUCGUAGAUAUUCGGAAGAACACCGGUGGCGAGGGCGACACACUGGCCCGUUACUGACGCUGAGGCGCGAAAGCGUGGGGAGCAAACA
rnacentral:rRNA from 1 species